rnacentral:piRNA from 1 species
UCUUUUUUCCAAAAUUGACGGCAGGGAC